UACGGGAGGCAGCAGUGGGGAAUAUUGCACAAUGGGCGCAAGCCUGAUGCAGCCAUGCCGCGUGUAUGAAGAAGGCCUUCGGGUUGUAAAGUACUUUCAGCGAGGAGGAAGGCGUUAAGGUUAAUAACCUUAGCGAUUGACGUUACUCGCAGAAGAAGCACCGGCUAACUCCGUGCCAGCAGCCGCGGUAAU
rnacentral:rRNA from 1 species